rnacentral:rRNA from 1 species
GGCAAAUCCGCAGAGCUUAGCUGAGGCGUGAUAACGAGGUGCCACGUGCACUGAAGUGAUUGAUCCCAUGCUUCCAGGAAAAGCCUCUAAGCUUCAGUUCCAUAUUGACCGUACUGCAAACCGACACAGGUGGGUAGGGUGAGAAUCCUAAGGCGCUUGAGAGAACUCAGGAGAAGGAACUCGGCAAAUUAACACCGUAACUUCGGGAGAAGGUGUGCCCUUGUAGGGUGAAGUCCCUUGCGGAUGGAGCUCGAAAGGGUUGCAGUGAAAAGGUGGCUGCGACUGUUUAUUAAAAACACAGCACUCUGCAAACACGAAAGUGGACGUAUAGGGUGUGACGCCUGCCCGGUGCUGGAAGAUUAAAUGAUGGGGUGCAAGCUCUUGACUGAAGUCCCAGUAAACGGCGGCCGUAACAAUAACGGUCCUAAGGUAGCGAAAUUCCUUGUCGGGUAAGUUCCGACCCGCACGAAUGGCGUAACGAUGGCCACACUGUCUCCUCCUGAGACUCAGCGAAGUUGAAAUGUUUGUG